rnacentral:misc_RNA from 1 species
UCUCCGUUGGUGAACCAGCGGAGGGAUCAUUAAAGAGUUGCAAAACUCCAACCCCUGUGAACCUUACCUGUACGUUGCUUCGGCGGCCGACGCCACGCCCAGCCGGGCCUGGGGGACGCCGCCGGAGGUCACCAAACUCUUGAUAAUUUAUGGCCUCUCUGAGUCUUCUGUACUGAAUAAGUCAAAACUUUCAACAACGGAUCUCUUGGUUCUG